rnacentral:lncRNA from 1 species
CCCUUCUUUUUUCAUACAACCAAAGUCAGAAAUUUUCACUUACAUAAAGGGUUUAAAGGAGCCAAAAAUGGGGGAAAAUUCAAAUGAUUACGUAACCUAAAUAAAGAAAGACACUGAAAUCUCCCUUGUAUGACAAAAUUUCCACACUCACGCUUACAAACCCCAAAUAAAUAAGACAGGAAAAUUCUAGAUUCAAGAAGCCCUAAUAAUAAAUUUUUAUUUUUCUGUUAAAAAUAUAAAAUUAAGAGAAAUGGGCAACAAAAAUCCUAUAAGAAAAAUCCUUAAACUACACAAAAGUAACUACAUAUACAUCAACUAGAUGCUCAAAAGAAAAAAACAGGGGAGAAUUUUUAUUUUUUUAAAAAAAAAAAAAAUUCACUGUAUAAUAUCAAAAUUUUGCAAAACAUAUGAAUAAAAAAGAAAAAUUCCAACAAAAUUAAUAAUUAUAUACCAGCAAGACAAGGCAGGCAAGAGAUUUUUGAGCAGCCAAAAUGGUUUGAACCGCUAUUGCUUCCACAAAUGAGCAGGCUAUUAGCUCCUCUUUCAUAGCACUUACAUUAGAGUUCAAUUUACUAACCUCCAUUUUGCCCAAGAAUUGCCUAAAAUUACAGUAAAAAAACAGAGGUUUAAGAGAGAGAAACUAUGAAGGCUUUUUUAGAGAGAGGAUUCUAGGGUAGGGCUUAUUUUCGAUUUAUGUCCAAAGGGCUGUAUUGGGAAAACGAAAUUUUUCAAGAAGGGUAUAUAUGAACGACUUCCAAU